UACGGGGGGGGCAAGCGUUGUUCGGAAUUACUGGGCGUAAAGGGCGCGUAGGCGGUUCGCUAAGUCGGAUGUGAAAACUCUGGGCUCAACCCAGAGCCUGCAUCCGAAACUGGCGGGCUAGAGUUCUGGAGGGGGUAGCGGAAUUCCUGGUGUAGCGGUGAAAUGCGUAGAUAUCAGGAGGAACACCGGUGGCGAAGGCGGCUACCUGGACCGGUUCUGACGCUGAUGCGCGAAAGCGUGGGUAGCAAACAGG
rnacentral:rRNA from 1 species